rnacentral:rRNA from 1 species
GUCUAUGGCCAUGCUAUCCUGAACAUGCCCAAUCUCAUCUGAUCUCAGAAACUGAGCAGAGUCGGGCCUGAUUAGUACUUGAAUGGGAGAUCACCUAGGAAGACCAGGUGCUGUAGGCU